rnacentral:rRNA from 1 species
CACUCCUGCGGGAGGCAGCAGUGGGGAAUCUUGCGCAAUGGGCGAAAGCCUGACGCAGCCAUGCCGCGUGAAUGAUGAAGGUCUUAGGAUUGUAAAAUUCUUUCACCGGGGACGAUAAUGACGGUACCCGGAGAAGAAGCCCCGGCUAACUUCGUGCCAGCAGCCGCGGUAAUACGAAGGGGGCUAGCGUUGCUCGGAAUUACUGGGCGUAAAGGGAGCGUCGGCGGACAUUUAAGUCAGGGGUGAAAUCCCGGGGCUCAACCUCGGAAUUGCCUUUGAUACUGGGUGUCUUGAGUAUGAGAGAGGUGUGUGGAACUCCGAGUGUAGAGGUGAAAUUCGUAGAUAUUCGGAAGAACACCAGUGGCGAAGGCGACACACUGGCUCAUUACUGACGCUGAGGCUCGAAAGCGUGGGGAGCAAACAGGAUUAGAAACCCUAGUAGUCCCAUGAU